UACGAAGGGAGCUAGCGUUGUUCGGAAUCACUGGGCGUAAAGCGCACGUAGGCGGAUGUGUCAGUCAGGGGUGAAAUCCCGGAGCUCAACUUCGGAACUGCCUUUGAUACAGCACGUCUUGAGUCCGGAAGAGGCGGGUGGAAUUCCUAGUGUAGAGGUGAAAUUCGUAGAUAUUAGGAAGAACACCGGUGGCGAAGGCGGCCCACUGGUCCGGUACUGACGCUGAGGUGCGAAAGCUAGGGGAGCGAAACAGG
rnacentral:rRNA from 1 species